CCCUACAGUAGAGGCGAUUCCCUCUCCAACCAGCCACAAUUCGUCUCCAACCACAACAGUGAAAGCGGCGCUUUGAUUUAGCCGGCGACAUUGCAGAUAUCCGGCGGCAAAGAAUUGCUUUGGCCGUCUGAAACUGUGUUUCCGAAUACAUACUUGCUAGUUGGAUGCUGCAAUGAUGAGGUUACACAUAAGUUUAAAGGCUAGAUCGUUAUGACCGAAUCGGAGCGUCAUGCCUGUGCUCGAAUUGUGUUCCGUUAAUAUGAAGUAUUGGUUUUGUAUAAUAUUUGUUUUCAUUCAGAAAAAUUGUACUUCUAUUCGACAUCUUAUAGUGACAUAUUCACUAUACUGUACAUAUCUAUACUAUAUUCGUUGUAUUAGUUUAUUUA